rnacentral:rRNA from 1 species
UACGAAGGGGGCUAGCGUUGCUCGGAAUCACUGGGCGUAAAGCGCACGUAGGCGGCUUCUUAAGUCAGGGGUGAAAUCCUGGAGCUCAACUCCAGAACUGCCUUUGAUACUGAGUAGCUUGAGUCCGGGAGAGGUGAGUGGAACUGCGAGUGUAGAGGUGAAAUUCGUAGAUAUUCGCAAGAACACCAGUGGCGAAGGCGGCAGCCUGGACCGAUACUGACGCUGAGGUGCGAAAGCGUGGGGAGCAAACAGG